rnacentral:rRNA from 1 species
AACGAACGCUGGCGGCAUGCCUAACACAUGCAAGUCGAACGAGGCCUUCGGGUCUAGUGGCGCACGGGUGCGUAACGCGUGGGAACCUGCCCUUAGGUUCGGAAUAACAGUUAGAAAUGACUGCUAAUACCGGAUAAUGUCUUCGGACCAAAGAUUUAUCGCCUUUGGAUGGGCCCGCGUAAGAUUAGGUAGUUGGUGGGGUAAUGGCCUACCAAGCCGACGAUCUUUAGCUGGUCUGAGAGGAUGAUCAGCCACACUGGGACUGAGACACGGCCCAGACUCCUACGGGAGGCAGCAGUGGGGAAUAUUGGACAAUGGGCGAAAGCCUGAUCCAGCAAUGCCGCGUGAGUGAUGAAGGCCUUAGGGUUGUAAAGCUCUUUUACCAGGGAUGAUAAUGACAGUACCUGGAGAAUAAGCUCCGGCUAACUCCGUGCCAGCAGCCGCAGUAA